GAAAUGCGAUAAGUAGUGUGAAUUGCAGAAUUCAGUGAAUCAUCGAAUCUUUGAACGCACAUUGCGCCCUCUGGCAUUCCGGUGGGCAUGCCUGUCCGAGCGUCAUUACGCACCCUCAAGCCCGGCUUGUGUGAUGGGCCCUGGCGUCUCGUUCGCGAGACGGGCCCGAAAGGCAGCGGCGGCGUCGACCCGAUGAGCCCGAGCGUAUGGGGACUUUUGUCACACGUUUGCGGUGCGGACCGGCGCCUGCUUGACUUUUCUGAUUAUCCAGGUUGACCUCGGAUCAGGUAGGGAUACCCGCUGAACUUAAGC
rnacentral:misc_RNA from 1 species